AAUGAACGCUGGCGGCGUGCUUAACACAUGCAAGUCGAACGAGAAAGUUCUUCGGAACGAGUAGAGUGGCGAACUGGUGCGUAACGCGUAAGGAUUUGCCCUUCAGUGAAGAAUACCCUCGAGAAAUCGAGGCUAAUACUGCAUACGUCCCUUCGGGGAGAAAGGUGGCCUCUUGCUACCGCUGAAGGAUAAACUUGCGUACUAUUAGCUUGUUGGUGAGGUAAGGGCUCACCAAGGCGAUGAUGGUUAGCCGGCCUGAGAGGGUGACCGGCCACAUUGGGACUGAGAUACGGCCCAGACUCCUACGGGAGGCAGCAGUGGGGAAUCUUGCACAAUGGACGAAAGUCUGAUGCAGCGACGCCGCGUGGAGGAUGACGGCCUUCGGGUUGUAAACUCCUGUUAAGAGGGAAGAAAGGUUUGCGGUUAAUAUCCGCAAGAGAUGACGGUACCUCUAGAGAAAGCUCCGGCUAACUUCGUG
rnacentral:rRNA from 1 species